rnacentral:rRNA from 1 species
CAGCAGCCGCGGUAAUACGGAGGGAGCUAGCGUUGUACGGAAUUACUGGGCGUAAAGCGCGCGUAGGCGGUUACUCAAGUCAGAGGUGAAAGCCCGGGGCUCAACCCCGGAACUGCCUUUGAAACUAGGUGACUAGAAUCUUGGAGAGGUCAGUGGAAUUCCGAGUGUAGAGGUGAAAUUCGUAGAUAUUCGGAAGAACACCAGUGGCGAAGGCGACUGACUGGACAAGUAUUGACGCUGAGGUGCGAAAGCGUGGGGAGCAAACAGGAUUAGAUACCCGUGUAGUCCCUGUCUCUUAUAC